GACAGUGGUGCCCACCCCAUAAUGUAUGACAUGCCAUCAUCCACCCAUCUGUCUGAUUGUCUCCCUCUUUCUUCAUCUUGUUUAUUUUUAGGUAAACGCCAAUGGGUGGGAUUCGCAUGCUGAUGGAAUGACGGUUGUCAGGCGGAUUAAAACUAAAGAUGAACCAUGUGGGAGUUUCCUCCAAAGAGCCUGUGGAUAAAUCUCAUUAGCAUACCUGCUCUGUGGACGGCUGUAAAUUUAAUGAAUGACGUGCUGGAGAGGAUAAGUGAGGUGAAUCAGCCGCUGUCAGACCUUCGGAGGACGGAUGGAAGAGGACUUCUGGAUGCUGGUGGGCUGGGUUCAUCUCCGAACUGA
ensembl:lncRNA